GCCAGCCGCCGCGGGAACACCGGCGGCCCGAGUGGUGAUCGUGAUUAUUGGGUCUAAAGGGUCCGUAGCCGGUUUGGUCAGUCCUCCGGGAAAUCUGAUAGCUCAACUAUUAGGCUUUCGGGGGAUACUGCCAGACUUGGAACCGGGAGAGGUAAGAGGUACUACAGGGGUAGGAGUGAAAUCUUGUAAUCCCUGUGGGACCACCUGUGGCGAAGGCGUCUUACCAGAACGGGUUCGACGGUGAGGGACGAAAGCUGGGGGCACGAACCGGAUUAGAUACCCGGGUAGUCCCAGCCGUAAACGAUGCUCGCUAGGUGUCAGGCAUGGCGCGACCGUGUCUGGUGCCGCAGGGAAGCCGUGAAGCGAGCCACCUGGGAAGUACGGCCGCAAGGCUGAAACUUAAAGGAAUUGGCGGGGGAGCACAACAACGGGUGGAGCCCUGCGGUUUAAUUGGACUCAACGCCGGACAACUCACCGGGGGCGACAGCAAUAUGUAGGCCAAGCUGAAGACUUUGCCUGAAUCGCUGAGAAGUGGUGCAUGG
rnacentral:rRNA from 1 species